AUGCCUACGGGGGGCAGCAGUGGGGAAUAUUGCACAAUGGGGGGAACCCUGAUGCAGCGACGCCGCGUGAAGGAAGAAGUAUUUCGGUAUGUGAACUUCUAUCAGCAGGGAAGAAAAUGACGGUACCUGACUAAGAAGCCCCGGCUAACUACGUGCCAGCAGCCGCGGUAAUACGUAGGGGGCAAGCGUUAUCCGGAUUUACUGGGUGUAAAGGGAGCGUAGGCGGCGAUGCAAGUCAGAAGUGAAAGCCUGGGGCUCAACUCCGGGACUGCUUUUGAAACUGUGUUGCUGGAUUGCAGGCGAGG
rnacentral:rRNA from 1 species